AUGCCUAGUGGCAUGAUCAAAGCCGAUGAUCCCGUUUCUUUUCCCGUCCCCCCGCCCCGGCAUAGCGCUUCGCUUCCCGUUAUUCGGAAGAAUAAACUGACUUAUCCCUUCUUCAUUGAUCUGGGGGAAAAGGAACCGUCUACCAGUUGGCAAGCUAGACAUCAAGUAAGUGGCUUGAUGAGGAUAACUAAGCUGACACGCCGGAGUUGGCUGCUGGCACAACAGGGUGGUGCCUUACCGCACCGCAGGCGAACGCGCGGUAGCGUUCGUGGUGGUGCUUCAGGAUUCCAAUGUACUGCGUCCAAGAUCAGAACGAGCUUGCCGGCGGACCACUGCCGUCCCAUUCUUGAGUGA
rnacentral:lncRNA from 1 species